rnacentral:piRNA from 1 species
UGGUACUUUACACACUUCUGUGAAACAC